ACGGUGAAUGCCUUGGCACUAGGAGCCGAUGAAGGACGGGACGAACACCGAUAUGCUUCGGGGAGCUGUAAGUAAGCUUUGAUCCGGAGAUUUCCGAAUGGGGGAACCUCAUUGUUUUUAUCGACAAUGGUCCAUUCAGUGAACACAUAGCUGAGUGGAAGGUAGACGUGGUGAACUGAAACAUCUCAGUAGCCACAGGAAGAGAAAGAAAAAUCGAUUUCCCGAGUAGCGGCGAGCGAAACGGAAAGAGGCCAAACCAGCGUGCUUGCAUGCUGGGGUUGUAGGACUGAUGGACGGGAGUGAAUGAGCUAGUCGAACGCCAUGGAAAGGGCGAUCAGAGAGGGUGACAAUCCCGUAGGCGAAAGCUCAGCCACCUCAUUCAGUAUCCUGAGUACGGCGGUACACGUGAAAUUCCGUCGGAAUCCGCCAGGACCAUCUGGCAAGCCUAAAUACUCCCUAGUGCCCGAUAGUGAACCAGUACCGUGAGGGAAAGGUGAAAAGCACCCCGGAAGGGGAGUGAAAGAGUACCUGAAACCGUAUGCCUACAAGCAGUCAGAGCCCGUUAAGGGGUGAUGGCGUACUUUUUGUAGAACGGACCGGCGAGUGACGAUAGCAAGCAAGGUUAAGCUGAAGAAGCGGAGCCACAGCGAAAGCGAGUCUGAAGAGGGCGUUGAGUUUGUUGUCGUUGACCCGAAACCAAGUGAUCUACUCAUGUCCAGGCUGAAGGUGUGGUAAAACACACUGGAGGGCCGAACCCACGUCUGUUGAAAAAGGCGGGGAUGAGGUGUGGGUAGCGG
rnacentral:rRNA from 1 species